GUGAGGAAUUUUGCGCAAUGGCCGCAAGGCUGACGCAGCAACGCCGCGUGGGUGAUGAAGGCCUUCGGGUCGUAAAGCCCUGUCAGGUGGGAAGAAAGGCUUGGAGAAGCAACGCUUUGAGUUUGACGGUACCACCAGAGGAAGCACCGGCUAACUCCGUGCCAGCAGCCGCGGUAAUACGGAGGGUGCGAGCGUUAUUCGGAAUUACUGGGCGUAAAGCGCGUGUAGGCGGGGAUGCAAGUCUGAUGUGAAAGCCCUGGGCUUAACCUGGGAAGUGCAUUGGAAACUGCAUUUCUUGAGUACUGGAGAGGAAGGGGGAAUUCCCGGUGUAGAGGUGAAAUUCGUAGAGAUCGGGAGGAAUACCAGUGGCGUAGGCGCCCUUCUGGACGGUAACUGACGCUGAGACGCGAAAGCGUGGGGAGCAAACAGGAUUAGAAACCCCUGUAGUCC
rnacentral:rRNA from 1 species